UACAGAGGUCUCAAGCGUUGUUCGGAUUCAUUGGGCGUAAAGGGUGCGUAGGCGGCGCGGUAAGUCGGGUGUGAAAUCUCGGGGCUUUAACUCCGAAACUGCAUUCGAUACUGCCGUGCUUGAGGACUGGAGAGGAGACUGGAAUUUACGGUGUAGCGGUGAAAUGCGUAGAUAUCGUAAGGAAGACCAGUGGCGAAGGCGGGUCUCUGGACAGUUCCUGGACGCUGAGGCACGAAGGCCCAGGGGAGCAAAACGGG
rnacentral:rRNA from 1 species